rnacentral:rRNA from 1 species
AAGCUUGCUCUCUGGGUGGCGAGUGGCGGACGGGUGAGGAAUACAUCGGAAUCUACUUUUUCGUGGGGGAUAACGUAGGGAAACUUACGCUAAUACCGCAUACGACCUACGGGUGAAAGCAGGGGAUCUUCGGACCUUGCGCGAUUGAAUGAGCCGAUGUCGGAUUAGCUAGUUGGCGGGGUAAAGGCCCACCAAGGCGACGAUCCGUAGCUGGUCUGAGAGGAUGAUCAGCCACACUGGAACUGAGACACGGUCCAGACUCCUACGGGAGGCAGCAGUGGGGAAUAUUGGACAAUGGGCGCAAGCCUGAUCCAGCCAUACCGCGUGGGUGAAGAAGGCCUUCGGGUUGUAAAGCCCUUUUGUUGGGAAAGAAAUCCAGCUGGCUAAUACCCGGUUGGGAUGACGGUACCCAAAGAAUAAGCACCGGCUAACUUCGUGCCAGCAGCCGCGGUAAUACGAAGGGUGCAAGCGUUACUCGGAAUUACUGGGCGUAAAGCGUGCGUAGGUGGUCGUUUAAGUCCGUUGUGAAAGCCCUGGGCUCAACCUGGGAACUGCAGUGGAUACUGGGCGACUAGAGUGUGGUAGAGGGUAGCGGAAUUCCUGGUGUAGCAGUGAAAUGCGUAGAGAUCAGGAGGAACAUCCAUGGCGAAGGCAGCUACCUGGACCAACACUGACACUG